rnacentral:rRNA from 1 species
CGCUGUAGCGUGCAGCCUACACCCGGCCGUCUCGGCAAUUCCUCGCGGCCUGCCGCGGGGACUGACCGAAGCCGAGACGAGUAGGAGGGUCGCCGCGGUCAGCGCUGAAGCCUUAGACGCGAGUCUGGGUGUAGCGGCCGCGGGUGCCGAUCUUGGUGGUAGUAGCAAAUAUUCG